rnacentral:rRNA from 1 species
CUACGGGCGGCACCAGUGGGGAAUAUUGCACAAUGGGCGCAAGCCUGAUACAGCCAUGCCGCGUGUAUGAAGAAGGCCUUCGGGUUGUAAAGUACUUUCAGCGGGGAGGAAGGGAGUAAAGUUAAUACCUUUGCUCAUUGACGUUACCCGCAGAAGAAGCACCGGCUAACUCCGUGCCAGCAGCCGCGGUAAUACGGAGGGUGCAAGCGUUAAUCGGAAUUACUGGGCGUAAAGCGCACGCAGGCGGUUUGUUAAGUCAGAUGUGAAAUCCCCGGGCUCAACCUGGGAACUGCAUCUGAUACUGGCAAGCUUGAGUCUCGUAGAGGGGGGUAGAAUUCCAGGUGUAGCGGUGAAAUGCGUAGAGAUCUGGAGGAAUACCGGUGGCGAAGGCGGUCCCCUGGACGAAGACUGACGCUCAGGUGCGAAAGCGUGGGGAGCAAACAGGAUUAGAUACCCGGGUAGUC